rnacentral:lncRNA from 1 species
GUUAAUGUGAUUGAAGAAAACUUGUUACUUCUGAAAACAUAACAGCCCCCAAUUACACGUAUCAUGAAAUACUCCGCAAUGUACAGCUUGAUACUAUGAUAAGGGGUGAACUCUAAUCAGUUGGAGCUAGUAUGAAACAACAUUCAAGCAUGAUACAGCUCUGAAUUUAGAAUGUGAUUAAAUACUUGUAUACAUGCUGUCAAAGGCAGAAAGUGGUUUCAGAAUUUAAAAUGUUUUAAUUGAGCAUUUGCCUAUUAUGUCUCAUUAUCAUAAAUCUAAAUACAUGUUAUAUUUAGCAUACCAAAGAACCCCCGGAUUAGAAUUUUUGAUUAAAUCGCAUAAAGUUUAAUUUUUGACACCUAUGACAUCCAUGUGUACUUAUUGUGUUAACGCGACAAAAUAGUUUGCGAUUAUAAACUAGAGGCUCUUAAGAGCCUGUGUCGCUCACCUUGGUCUAUGUGCAUAUUAAACAAAGGACACAGAUGGAUUCAUGACAAAAUUGUGUUUUGGUGAUGGUGAUGUGUUUGUAGAUCUUACUUUAUUGAACAUUCUUGCUUCUUACAAUUAUCUCAAUUUAUAAUGAACUUGGUCCAUUGUGUUACAGAGGAAAAUAUUUUUUGUACAAAAUUUACAAAAUUUACAAAAAUUUACAAAAUUUACAAAAUUAUUAAAAAUUGACUAUAAAGGGCAAUAACUCCUUAAGGGGUCAACUGACCUUUUUGGUCAUUUGACUUAUUUGUGGAUCUUACUUUGCUGAACAUUAUUGCUGUUUACAGUUUAUCUCUAUCUAUAAUAAUAUUCCAGAUAAUAACCAAAAACAGCAAAAUUUCCUUAA